rnacentral:ncRNA from 1 species
AGAGUUUGAUCAUGGCUCAGAAUGAACGCUAAUGGUUAUCUUAACACAUGCAAGUUAAAUAAAUUUAUCUAAUGAUAUAAAUUAAUAGCGAACGGGUGAGUAAUAUAUAGAAAUAAAACCUUAAACAAAUGUUAGAUACAUUUAAAAAAUUAAGUUAUUUAAAGAAAGUCUAUAUAAGAUUAAGUAGUUGGUAAAAAAGCUUACCAAGCUAAUGAUCUUUAGCUGGUCUUUGAGGAUGAACAGCCACAUUGGAACUGAGACACGGUCCAAACUUGAUUUUAAGGCAGCAGUGAGGAAUUUUGGGCAAUGAACGAAAGUUUGACCCAGUUAAACCCAUGUGUGAUGAAAGUUAUGAACUGUAAAGCACAAUACUUAAAAAAAUAAUGAUUUAUUUAAAAAAGUCCUGGCUAAUUUCGUGCCAGCAGCCGCGGUAAAACGAAAAGGGCAAGCGUUAUUCAAAUUUAUUGGGCGUAAAGUAUGAAUAGAUGGAAAAUUAAGUUCUAACAUAAGAUUUAAAUUUUAUUUUUAAAGAUGAAAUUAAACUAAUUUUCUAGAGUUUAAAAGAAGAUUAUGGAAUUUUAAAUGUAACGGUAAAAUGUUUUUAUAUUUAAAGGAACCUCAAUAGCGUAAGCAAUAAUCUAAUUUAAAACUGACAUUGAGGUCAUUAAAGUGUGGGUAGCAAAAGGGAUUAGAUACCCCUGUAGUCCACACCCUGAACGAUAAGUGUUUAUUUUUGGAAAUUUUCGGAAAUGUAGUUAACGCGUUUAACACUUCGCCUGGGAACUACGAUUGCAAAAUUAAAACUCAAAGGAAUUGACGGGGACUUGCACAAGCAGUGGAGCAUGUGGUUUAAAUCGAUAAUACGCGCAAAAUCUUACCAACUUUUGUAUAAUUGUAAUAAUUACAGGUGUUGCAUGGCUGUCGUCAGUUCGUGCUGUGAAGCGUUUGGUUUAUUCCAAAAAACGAACAAAACUUUUAUAUACUUUUGAGUAUAAACUGCUGAAGAUAUUUCGGAGGAAGGUAAAAAUGAUGUCAAGUCCUUAUGACCCUAAUAAGUUGGGCUACUUUCAUGUGCUACAAUAAUUUUUUCAAAAAGAAGCAAAAAUGAAAAUUUUAGCAAAUCUAAAAAAAAAUUAAUCGGAUUAUUUUCUGAAACUCGGAAAUAUGAAGUUGGAAUUGCUAGUAAUCGUAAAUAAGAAUGUUACGGUGAAUUUGUUCUCAGGUCUUGUACACACCGCCCGUCACGCUAUGGAAAUUCUUUUUGUUAAAAGAUUAUUAAACUUUUUAUUUAAUAAUUUAUAAUAAAAGAAGGACUAAAGUGAAGUCGUAACAAGGUAGCCGUAA